rnacentral:lncRNA from 1 species
CUCCAGUCCAAGGCCUGUAUUCAUCUUCUGACUCGUUGCCACACAAAAAAAACACUUCUUUUAAACAGAUGCAAACUAGAAAGAUCACGUCUUUUUUUUUACCACGUCUUGUUCUUUCGAGAUGCUAAUAUAUUGCAAGGAUUUAAACUACAAAAUAAUGCUUGAUAUCUUGGUAAACUUUUUAUAAAUAAAUCACAGAAUGAUGAAGACGAUAUCAAAGAGCAAAGAGAUAACAGGUAAUUAACUGAUAUAAAGCUUUUAAUAAAUUUUUUGAAAUGUUCUGAUAAGUUGCAGUUUUAGGUAUCGGACGAGGAUUGCUAUAAUGUUGAUGCUAGCUGCUUUGAGUUUGUUUCUCGUUAGCACAGCCUUUAUGACUUUGCCAAUUGUGGUUGGAAGAGUAUUCUCUUACUCUAUCUCCUUCAUCCUGCGAAGAUUUGGAAUCACACAUGACGGUUUGUUCUAGUUUCUUGCUUUAUUUAGACCAGUUUCUUAUAUAUGCUUAUUAAAAUUUUGAACAUGUGUUUGUGGAGCAAUCUAUGUCAGA